GACGAACCGAGCAAACGUUAUUCGGAAUCACUGGGCUUAAAGGGCGCGUAGGCGGGCAUCCAAGUCUGUGGUGAAAUCCGGCAGCUUAACUGUCGAACUGCCGUGGAUACUGGGUGUCUCGAGGGAGGUAGGGGCGUGCGGAACUAUUGGUGGAGCGGUGAAAUGCGUUGAUAUCAAUAGGAACUCCGGUGGCGAAGGCAGGUCUCUGGGCAUUAACUGACGCUGAGGAGCGAAAGCAUGGGGAGCGAACAGG
rnacentral:rRNA from 1 species